UACGAAGGGGGCUAGCGUUGCUCGGAAUCACUGGGCGUAAAGGGUGCGUAGGCGGGUCCUUAAGUCAGGGGUGAAAUCCUGGAGCUCAACUCCAGAACUGCCUUUGAUACUGAGGAUCUUGAGUUCGGGAGAGGUGAGUGGAACUGCGAGUGUAGAGGUGAAAUUCGUAGAUAUUCGCAAGAACACCAGUGGCGAAGGCGGCUCACUGGCCCGAUACUGACGCUGAGGCACGAAAGCGUGGGGAGCAAACAGGGA
rnacentral:rRNA from 1 species